CUAUUAUAUAAUUCCUAAGAGCUUCCUGUGAGACCAGGUGAAGCUGAUUGUCCAUUCUACCUGAAGACUGGAAGUUGCAAGUAUGGGGCCACUUGCCGGUACAACCACCCUGAUAGAUAUGAUAUCAAUCCACCUGUUGCUGCCUUCAGUUGCUGGUUUUAACUUAGAGUUGCUAAUCCAUCUGCCUUCGCUUAUCAAACUUAACCAGAUAAACUGGUGUUUGUAAUUCUCGCUACUUGAUGGAGAUGUCAUGUUCAGUUCCAGUAUCGAUUCCUUCAGCAUUAAAUUGGAUGACUUUAGAAUACCUGGACACCAAUUCAUUUCAGACUAUUCGGUACAACAUUAAAUUCGGUUUAGAAUUCUAUUAUUUCUAUACAUAUCACAAAGUUGAAGAAAAUAUUUGUAUAAUCAUGGAUAGCUUGUGUGCAAGCCUAUUCAAGCCUACCAGCUACGGCUUCCUCAUCAAAAUUAUUGCUCACUACUUGCUCUUUCUUUUUCUGGCAUCUUCACAUCUGCACGGUACUACUCAACUGUGUUUGGGUGAUGGACUUCCGAGUGCAUCAUGCAUCGAGGAAGAGAGACGAGCUCUUCUCAGCUUCAAAGCAGAUGUUAAUGAUAGUUCCGGCAGGCUUUUAUCUUGGGUGGGUCUAGAUUGCUGUCGAUGGAAAGGGAUUUCAUGCAACAACCGUACAGGCCACGUUGCAAAGAUGGACCUCCGGAACCCGAAUUAUGAUCCACUCAACGGGAAUACUUCUUUGGGGGGUAACAUCAAUCCUUCUUUGCUUAGCUUAAAGAAGUUGUAUAGCCUUGACCUAAGCGGAAAUGAUUUUGGAGGACUCCGAAUUCCUGAUUUCUUUGGGAAGCUUACAAGUUUGAGGUAUCUUAAUCUCUCCUCUGCUUCAUUUAAGGGAGAGAUUCCCCCAGCUCUUGGUAACCUCUCAAACUUGAACUAUCUUGACCUCAAUACUAAUUACUACUAUGAAGGUUAUUCUUCCAAUAACUUGAAUUGGCUUUCUCAUCUCUCUUCCCUAAAGUACCUCAAUCUUAGAUAUGUGAACCUCAGCAGCACAGGAGUAAGUUGGCUACAUGAUGUCAACAUGCUUCCUUCACUCUUAGAAUUGCAUCUGACUAGUUGCCAAAUUCAAAAGCUUCCACACUCCCAGCAGCUGCAAUCAGUAAACUUCACAUCCCUAUUGGUUCUUGAUAUAUCAUUCAAUGAUAUUAAUUCUUCAUUUCCCAGCUGGUUUUUAAAUCUUACCAACCUCAAAAAACUUGAUGCAUCUGGCAAUUUGUUCGGUCCCAUCCCUGUUGAACUUGCAAACCUCAAGUCUUUGGAAGACUUUAAUUUAUGGGGCAAUUCUGCCCAAGGUCAAAUUCCCAAAGUCUUUGGUAGAUUGUGCAGCCUAAGGAUAUUAGAUCUUUCUGAAAACUCGUUCAGUGGUGGUUUGGAAGAGGUUUUGAAUGGCUUCUCAAACUGCACAAGUCACAGACUAGAGUCGCUUGAUUUGUCCAUCAAUCAGAUAGAAGGUGAACUGCCUGCCGCCUUAGGAGUGCUAGAAAAUCUGAAGGAACUUGACCUUAGUGUAAACAAAUUUUAUGGUUCAAUUCCAGAAUUUAUUGGUAAUUUAUCAUCCUUGGAAAAACUGGCCAUCUCUUGGAAUGAUAUGAAUGGGUCCAUUCCUGCAAGUUUGGGACAACUCUCUCAGCUAGUUCACCUAGAUCUAUCUUCGAAUGAUAUCAAUGGGUCCAUUCCUGCAAGUUUGGGACAACUCUCUCAGCUAGUUCACCUAGAUCUAUCUUCGAAUCAUAUGAAUGGGUCCAUUCCUGCAAGUUUGGGACAACUCUCUCAGCUAGUUCACCUAGAUCUAUCUUUGAAUUCGUGGGAAGGCAUUUUAACAGAAGUCCAUUUCCGAACUCUCACCAAGUUAGAGACUUUUGGUAUAAGCACACAGCAACCUUUCUCCCUCAGUUUGAAUGUGGCUCAUGACUGGGUUCCUCCUUUCCAGCUUGAUUCACUCGACAUUGUUAACUGCAGAGUAGGUCCUGCCUUUGGGAUGUGGCUUCGAUCUCAAACUGAAUUAACGCAUCUCAGGCUCAGAAAUACUGGAAUAUCAGACUCCAUACCAGAGGAAUGGUUCUUGACGAUAUCUUCCAAACUCACAUGUGUGGAUUUGUCCAACAACCAAAUCCGUGGAAAGCUUCCAUUUCACAUGAACUCCCCAUCUUUGUAUUAUAUAGAUCUGAAUCAUAAUGAAUUUGAGGGCCCUCUGCCACAAUGGUCUAGUCCUGCCUCCUAUCUCGAUCUUCGAAGCAACUCUUUUUCCGGGCCAAUUCCCUCAAACUAUGAUCAACUGUUGCCUAAUUUGGAAGAAUUGUCUCUUUCUGACAAUAACCUGAGUGGUAGUAUACCACCCUCUUUAUGCAACAUGUCAAGUUUGAGAUUCCUUAUUUUAAGAAGCAAUCACUUGUCUGGAGACUUCUCUCGAGCAUGGAGUACGUGGCCAUAUAUACAAGCUGUAGAUGUCUCAUACAACGAUUUGACCGGCAAUAUCACCAGUUCAAUGGGUGUCCCGAGCUCACUAUGGGUAUUGAAUCUGAGCAACAACAAUUUCACGGGUCAAAUUCCUUCUUCCUUAUUCCAAAAUUGCACAGAGUUGAUUGGAAACUUGCGAUGGCUAGAAACUCUUGAUCUCUCGCACAAUCACCUCUCCGGACAUAUUCCACACAGUGUCUCUUCAUUAACCUCUUUGUCUCACUUGGACUUGUCUCACAACAACUUGUCCGGAAGAAUUCCUUCAGGUAACCAACUUCAAACACUCAAUGAUUCAUCCAUUUACGAGAGCAAUCCAUCCUUGUGUGGGGUUCCUCUUUCAACUCUCUGCCCGGGAGACGCCGCACUUGCACCAGCUGACUCUGACGAUGAUGAUCAUAAUGAUGAUGAUGAUGAUGAUGAUGAGAAUCGGAAGUUUGGUAUGUAUGUUAGCGGUGCGCUCGGCUUCAUCAUAGGGUUUUGGAGUGUUUGUGGCACAUUGGUUAUGAAGAAAUCAUGGAGGCUAAGCAGCUCUCCCUCCUCUUUUUCUGAUUAUCAUGAGGCUACCACCUUGACAUUGAAGGGACAAGAACUGGUGUAUAACAAGACUCUGCCUUUGGUGAAUACCAUUGAUUUCUCAUCAAAUCACUUAGAUAGCGAAAUCCCUGAAGGUAUAAGCAGCCUCAUUGCCUUGGGGACAUUGAACUUGUCCGUAAUCAUCUAACCGGAAACAUUCCCUUAAAGAUUGGAAAGUUGAGAUGGCUUGAAACUCUUGAUCUCUCGCACAAUCACCUCUCCGGACAUAUUCCACACAGUCUCUCUUCAUUAACCUCUUUGUCUCACUUGAACUUGUCUGACAACAACUUGUCCGGAAGAAUUCCUUCAGGUAACCAACUUCAAACACUCAAUGAUUCAUCCAUUUACGAGAGCAAUCCAUCCUUGUGUGGGGUUCCUCUUUCAACUCUCUGCCCGGGAGACGCCGCACCCGCACCAGCUGAACCUGACGAUGAUGAUCAUAAUGAUGAUGAUGAUGAUGAGAAUCGGAAGUUUGGUAUGUAUGUUAGCGGUGCACUCGGCUUCAUCAUAGGGUUUUGGAGUGUUUGUGGCUCAUUGGUUAUGAAGAAAUCAUGGAGGUAUGCCUAUUUCCGUUUCUUUGAUAACAUACAAGAGAGGACAGAAUUGGCCAUCGCAGUGAGAAUGGCUCGUUGGCAAAGGAAGACUUGAUAAGAUAAGAAAAUCAAAGAAUAAAAUGCACUUUUGGGGGGUACAUAUUUUCAUUCUUUUUUGGUUCGGGUGCUUUUCAUGUGACUGUCCUUUGGUUUGGUGUU